UGCCAGACUCCUACGGGAGGCAGCAGUGGGGAAUAUUGCACAAUGGGGGAAACCCUGAUGCAGCGACGCCGCGUGAGCGAAGAAGUACCUCGGUAUGUAAGGCUCUAUCAGCAGGGAAGAAGAUGACGGUACCUGACCAAGAAGCUCCGGCUAAAUACGUGCCAGCAGCCGCGGUAAUACGUAGGGGGCAAGCGUUAUCCGGAUUUACUGGGUGUAAAGGGGGCGCAGACGGCAGCGCAAGCCAGGAGUGAAAGCCCGGGGCCCAACCCCGGGACUGCUCUUGGAACUGCGCGGCUGGAGUGCAGGAGGGGCAGGCGGAAUUCCUGGUGUAGCGGUGAAAUGCGUAGAUAUCAGGAGGAACACCGGUGGCGAAGGCGGCCUGCUGGACUGCGACUGACGUUGAGGCCCGAAAGCGUGGGGAGCAAACAGGAUUAGAUACCCCCGUAAG
rnacentral:rRNA from 1 species